CCUACGGGAGGCAGCAGUGGGGGAUAUUGCACAAUGGGGGAAACCCUGAUGCAGCGACGCCGCGUGGGUGAAGAAGCGCCUCGGCGCGUAAAGCCCUGUCAGCAGGGAAGAAAAUGACGGUACCUGAAGAAGAAGCCCCGGCUAACUACGUGCCAGCAGCCGCGGUAAUACGUAGGGGGCAAGCGUUAUCCGGAUUUACUGGGUGUAAAGGGGGCGCAGACGGCGGUGCAAGCCAGAGGUGAAAGGCCGGGGCCCAACCCCGGGACUGCUCUGGGAACUGCGUGGCUAGAGUGCAGGAGGGGCAGGCGGAAUUCCUGGUGUAGCGGUGAAAUGCGUAGAUAUCAGGAGGAACACCGGUGGCGAAGGCGGCCUACUGGACUGUAACUGACGUUGAGGCCCGAAAGCGUGGGGAGCAAACAGGAUUAGAUACCCGAGUAGUC
rnacentral:rRNA from 1 species